rnacentral:rRNA from 1 species
UACCCGCCGGCGACCGGCGCACGGGUGAGUAACACGUAUCCAACCUGCCGAUAACUCGGGGAUAGCCUUUACGAAAGAAAGAUUAAUACCCGAUGGCAUAAUUAGACCGCAUGGUCUUAUUAUUAAAGAAUUUCGGUUAUCGAUGGGGAUGCGUUCCAUUAGGCAGUUGGUGAGGUAACGGCUCACCAAACCUUCGAUGGAUAGGGGUUCUGAGAGGAAGGUCCCCCACAUUGGAACUGAGACACGGUCCAA